UUUAGGUUCGUGUUUCCCUAUGUUAUGUGAUCAGUUGAUCCCUCGGGGUUUCAACAGCCAGUUCGUGGUUUUCAUCCUCCGUGAGCAUUUCCUUGAGUUUGAGCCUUUUUUUUUUUUAAAUAAACCCGAUUUCCCCUUUUUUUUCUCUUCCGUGUUUUUCCGCAACGCUGGGAUCAAAAGCUCCACUAAUUAUGGCAUUUUGUAUUAAAGAUUAAAGCGCAGCCCACAAAUGAUUCGUGGGUUAGCUGUUUCAACCCUCAACAGGCUGGAUCCAAAUCACGCACUGCAUCACAGCCACUAUGGUCGUCAGAGUGAAAUGGGACGAUCUUCACCAGAGGAGCACGUUGCUCCUGCCUGUCCUCUGACCUCCCCUCACUCAGAGCCUGGAG